UUAGUUAAGCGUUCUCCAUAUUAAGGUGUCCAUGCUACUGCAGUGUCACCAAAAACACAUAGAUAAGGUGCAAAUAAAUUUUAAGGCAGGUGGGUUGUGCACAAUGAAAAUGGUAAGCAGCACUUCAGUUACUUCCUCGUGCUGCUAUUUUGUAGAUAUCUAAGAAGUGAGAUGCUGGAUCCUUCAUUUUACUGCUGCUUCGUAAAUCAUCAUAAGUUGACCAGAAAGAACUGCAUAUCAAUCAUUGUGGCAAAAAUCAUUAUUUCUCAUCAUAACAACAUCAAGAUUAGUACUUAUUUAUACUUUUUUUGACAAUUAUUAGUACUUAUUUAUCACUUCUGUAUAUACAAACAUAUAUUCACAUCUAAACAUUUAGCGAACACCUAAAAUGGAAACAUGUGUGCAUGCCAAUAGCUACAUACAAAAGUCAUAAAAUUAUUUGAGUGAAAACUUGAAAUGGAAACAAAGAGCAGUGAGUGCCCAAGCAGCCGAUAGCAUGGGGUCUGUGUCAGUAGAGAGAGUGAGAAAGGAAGGCACAUAUGCAGUUGCAAGAAAGAAUUGGGAGUUCAUUCAGGAAUGGGUAGAAGGAGGAACACUAGGAAGAGUAUCCUAGUUCGUUCUCUUGUAGUCCUAUCACAUAUAAAAAUAGAGGGCAGUGCAAGUAGCCAUCAUGUCAAAAGCAUAUUGGAAUUUUUAGCUGCAAUUAGCAUUUCCAAAGUUGAAAGAGCAGGUCCCAAUCCAUUCAAUCCAUCUAAAUCGAUCAAUAUUGACAUGGUUCACCAUAGUUGACUUACUAACUGGUACAUGUGUAUAUUUUCUGUUGUAAUCAUGAUCGGUUCACAUGUUUUGUACUCUAAAUUUGUAACAUGUUUGAAAUGGUUGCUACUUCCGAACAUUGUUUUUUGGGAUGUGAAGACCUGAACAUAAUCUUUCAGCGCCCUGCCUUACUGUUGCUGAUAACCUUACUUAUCCAACAACAACACCAACAGUCCAACACCUAGUUACCAACUAUGCCUCCCAAUUCUAAGCUAGUUGAAGUUAGAAUCGAUUAAAUGAAUCCUCACUAUUCAUUUUGCUCCAACUGGACCCAUUCCAUUUAUAUUCAAUAAUCUCACUCUCUUUGCUCCGUUUUUCCUUUAUCUUUUCACUCUUCAUAAAGAAUUUUGAAAACAUGUUCACUUUGGGGCAAUCUCAAAAAAAAAAAAAAAUCUUAAUGCAAAAUUGGAAAAAGAAAAAAAGAAACUAAAUCUCCAUGACAGAGAGAAACAAGGAUCAGAUUCCUUUUAAAAAUACAAAAAAUAAAAAAAUGAACAAGGGUCGGAUUAUUUGAUUAAACUAAACCUUAAGCAAUCUGAGUAAAUGGUACCAUAGGAAAAUGAUAAAUUGAACUAUGUCUAAACUGUAAAUUUCAUUGAAUGGUGUUGUUUUUUGGAUUGCUCAAGAGAAACCUUGGUGUAGCUUACUCGAUAGAACCAUUAGUUUUCAUCAUUGUAAUGUUAGAAUAAGCUGCAAAGAAUCUAUAGGUAUGAAGUGGAUAAAGACUGAUUUUGAAAUAUUAUUUAGGAUGCCAUACUAAUAGUUAAUGUGAUUGAAGGCAUUUUCUUUGUUGAGCAGUGGAACUUACCUACAUUGUUAUUUUCUGUGUGAGUAUAUGUAUGUACAUUCAACAUGCACAACAUAUACAUUGAUUGUCUAUGAAUGUGUGUGUGUAAUCAAAGACACUUUGAUGAUGUGCAUGAUAUCUGGAGAAUAUAUAUUCACAGCAGGGUGCAGUCACAAACAUAUAUUAGACACCAAAUAUACAUGGGAAUGUUGCUGGUUAACAUGUGUAGUGCUGAGUGUUUUUUUUUAAUUUCAUUUUAAUACAAUUUUUUUUGAACUUCAAAGGAUUUGUUUCUCCAGAUUGUUAUGUUUGAGUUUUUGGUCAGCAAUGUUCAUGAACAAUUAAUUAAGUUAAUAAUAGAAAAUGAAAAGAUUCUUAAGCGAUAAGUCUUGAAGUUGUUGCUUGAAGUUAAAAUGAAAUAGAAUAUGAUUAAAGAUGCAUAUGAUGUUCUAUUGAUUAUCACAUCACCACCUCCAAAUGG
rnacentral:lncRNA from 1 species